rnacentral:misc_RNA from 1 species
GCAAACUUGGUCAUUUAGAGGAAGUAAAAGUCGUAACAAGGUUUCCGUAGGUGAACCUGCGGAAGGAUCAUUAAAAAAGAUUCAAACCGGUUCUUGACCCGUAAAAAAGGUCAUGAACCAAAACCUUUAUUUUUAAACCUGGUUCUAAAAAAUUUGUCUGAAUACCAAAAAGAUUUUCGAAUGAAAAUUUAAAACUUUCAACAACGGAUCUCUUGGUUCUCGCAUCGAUGAAGAACGCAGC